GUCACAAACCCUAGAAGCUGACCCUCAUCGAUCAUGGAUCCUCAGCCUCAGCCAGAGCAAGUCAAGUACAUCUGCGGAGGUUGUGGGGAGGAAGUCCCUUUGAAGCCAAACGAAAAGGUUCAGUGCCGUCACUGCGAUUACACUGUCUUGUACAAGAAGCGUACUCGUCGUAUCGUGGAGUUUCUGGCACGCUAGGAGAGAAUUUGGGAUGAAUGAGGAUGGAAUAAUUAUAUAUACAACUGAGGCAUGUGGUGUCCUACAUGUUCCGAUUUGCUCAUGUGGGUUUGGGAUUUAUCAGCAAUUUGUAUAUAGAAAAGAAUGUUAGUAAGCAACUGGUAUUGUUCAGCUGUAACUAUAGCAACUGGUAUUGUUCAGCUGUUACUAUUUUUCACAUCGUGAUUAAAAUAGUGUCUUCGCUGUUGAUGAGCUUACAAGUCCAUAAGCAACUGGUAUUGUUCAGCUGUAACUAUAAGAAUAUAUUUUAGAAGAGCAUAAGAAACUUGGGAAAUAGAAUGAUUAUGAUGGUGCAAGUCA